rnacentral:rRNA from 1 species
AACGAACGCUGGCGGCAUGCCUAGCACAUGCCAGUCGAACGAGACCUUCGGGUCUAGUGGCGCACGGGUGCGUAACGCGUGGGAACCUACCCUUAGGUUCGGAAUAACUCCCCGAAAGGGGUGCUAAUACCGGAUAAUGUCUUCGGACCAAAGAUUUAUCGCCUUUGGAUGGGCCCGCGUUGGAUUAGCUAGUUGGUAGGGUAAAAGCCUACCAAGGCGACGAUCCAUAGCUGGUCUGAGAGGAUGAUCAGCCACACUGGGACUGAGACACGGCCCAGACUCCUACGGGAGGCAGCAGUGGGGAAUAUUGGACAAUGGGCGAAAGCCUGAUCCAGCAAUGCCGCGUGAGUGAUGAAGGCCUUAGGGUUGUAAAGCUCUUUUACCCGGGAUGAUAAUGACAGUACCGGGAGAAUAAGCUCCGGCUAACUCCGUG